GACGAACGCUGGCGGCGUGCUUAACACAUGCAGGUCGAGCGGUAAGGCCCUUUCGGGGGUACACGAGCGGCGAACGGGUGAGUAACACGUGGGUGACCUGCCCUUAGCUCUGGGAUAAGCCUGGGGAAACUGGGUCUAAUACCGGAUAUGACUCCAUGACGCAUGUUGUGGGGUGGAAAGCCUUGUGCGGCUGAGGAUGGGGCCCGCGGCCUAUCAGCUUGUUGGUGGGGUGAUGGCCUACCAAGGCGACGACGGGUAGCCGGCCUGAGAGGGCGACCGGCCACACUGGGACUGAGAUACGGCCCAGACUCCUACGGGAGGCAGCAGUGGGGAAUCUUGCGCAAUGGGCGAAAGCCUGACGCAGCGACGCCGCGUGAGGGAUGACGGCCU
rnacentral:rRNA from 1 species